UCGUUGGACAAAUUAUAAGGA
ensembl:piRNA 21ur-7599 ncRNA